GGUGAGGUGUCCGAGUGGCUGAAGGAGCACGCCUGGAAAGUGUGUAUACGGCAACGUAUCGGGGGUUAUCGAAUCCCCCCCUCACCGCCA
rnacentral:tRNA from 1 species